CUUGGUCAUUUAGAGGAAGUAAAAGUCGUAACAAGGUUUCCGUAGGUGAACCUGCGGAAGGAUCAUUCCUGUUUAAUUAAGGAAACAAGGAGGAGGGGGAGAGGGGAAGGGUGUAAAUUUUUAUGCCUUUUUCCUUUCUCCUUUUUCCUAUUUCUUUAUAGCGAAUUAUGUGGGAGACCUUAGAAGUCCUCAUUACAAUUUAAUCGAAACUAUGAAAUUCAUAAAUUAUAAACACCACAAGUGCUUGCGGUGGAUCUCUUGGUUCGUGCAUCGAUGAAGAACGCAGCAAAGUGCGAUACGUAGUGUGAAUUGCUAGAUUUGCGAGUCAUCGAGUCUUUGAACGCAAGUUGCGGUUGGCUCUGCCGACCAUGCGUGUCUGAGGGUUGUUAUUGAUGGAUUGCGCGUGUUUUAAUCUUUUUCUUCACGGGGAAAGAAUACGAAACUCGCGUUGAAUAAUUGUGAGGAACAAUAGCAAUUGCGUAAAUUUGCAAAAAUUUAAGUGAGUUGGGUUUGUAUUUCUUAACUGAAGUACAAGCCCUGACGUUUAUCACUUGUUUUGCGACUUGAUACAACCUCAGAUCAGGCAGGAUUACCCGCCGAACUUAAGCAUAUUAAUAAGCGGAGGAAAAGAAACUAACUAGGAUUCCCUCAGUAGUGGCGAACGAAGCGGGAAAAGUCCAUUCCUGUAAUCCUUUUUGGAGUUGUGGAGUGAGGCACCUCGGCAUGAGAUUUGGAUUUUGGGGCAAGUUUCCUGGAAAGGAGCCUUGUAGAGGGUGGCAAGCCCGUGGUCCCUUGAUUCGAUUUUUGCGGCGAGUGUGCUUGGAGUCGGGCUGUUUGGGAAUGCAGCCUGAAGUGGGUGGUAGACACCAUCUGAGACUAAAUAUUGGCACGAAACCGAUAGCGAACAAGUACCGUGAGGGAAAGAUGAAAAGCACUCUGAGAAGAGGGGUAAUAGGACGUGAAACUGCAAGCAAGUAAGCGGGGGGCUGUCGCUGUGGAUGCCUGUUAGUUCCGGUUUUACCUUACUCUAACAGGCUUCGACCGGCGGGUAGUUAGGUUACUAGUUUGUAGGGCCGUUGGCAGCAAUGCGGGGCCUUGCAUUCUUUUCGCUUAGCCACUUCUUGCACUCCGGGCAUUGCCCAGUGCUGCUGGAAUAGCGCAGUCAUCCGACCCGUCUUGAAACACGGACC
rnacentral:rRNA from 1 species